rnacentral:rRNA from 1 species
CUACGUGCCAGCAGCCGCGGUAAUACGUAGGGCGCGAGCGUUGUCCGGAAUUAUUGGGCGUAAAGAGCUUGUAGGCGGUUUGUCGCGUCUGCUGUGAAAGGCCGGGGCUUAACCCCGUGUAUUGCAGUGGGUACGGGCAGACUAGAGUGCAGUAGGGGAGACUGGAACUCCUGGUGUAGCGGUGGAAUGCGCAGAUAUCAGGAAGAACACCGAUGGCGAAGGCAGGUCUCUGGGCUGUAACUGACGCUGAGAAGCGAAAGCAUGGGGAGCGAACAGGAUUAGAUACCCUGGUAGUCCAUGCCGUAAACGAUGAUUACUGGGUGUGGGCAUGAAGAGUGUCCGUGCCGAAGCAAAUGCGAUAAGUAAUCCGCCUGGGGAGUACGGCCGCAAGGCUGAAACUCAAAGGAAUUGACGGGGACCCGCACAAGCGGUGGAGCAUGUGGUUUAAUUCGACGCAACGCGAGGAACCUUACCAGAUCUUGACAUCC